rnacentral:rRNA from 1 species
UACAGAGGGUGCGAGCGUUGUUCGGAAUUAUUGGGCGUAAAGGGCGCGUAGGCGGUGCGGUAAGUCACCUGUGAAAUCUCCUGGCUCAACUGGGAGCUUGCAGGCGAAACUGCCGUGCUGGAGUGUGGGAGAGGUGCGUGGAAUUCCUGGUGUAGCGGUGAAAUGCGUAGAUAUCAGGAGGAACACCUGUGGCGAAAGCGGCGCACUGGACCACAACUGACGCUGAGGCGCGAAAGCCAGGGGAGCGAACGGG